UACGUAGGGUGCGAGCGUUUGUCCGGAAUUAUUGGGCGUAAAGAGCUUGUAGGCGGUUUGUCGCGUCUGCCGUGAAAUUUCGGGGCUCAACCCCGAACUUGCGGUGGGUACGGGCAGACUAGAGUGUGGUAGGGGAGACUGGAAUUCCUGGUGUAGCGGUGAAAUGCGCAGAUAUCAGGAGGAACACCGAUGGCGAAGGCAGGUCUCUGGGCCACUACUGACGCUGAGAAGCGAAAGCAUGGGGAGCGAACAGG
rnacentral:rRNA from 1 species